UGAAAAAUAGCAUAAAAAGUGUGUUCUGUUUACACCAGAAAGGUGAUUUAUUUUAUCUUUUUCAUC
rnacentral:tRNA from 1 species